rnacentral:rRNA from 1 species
GAUGAACGCUGGCGGCGUGCUUAACACAUGCAAGUCGAACGUGAUAGGUAGCAAUAUCUUGAAAGUGGCGAACGGGUGAGUAACACGUGGGUAACCUGCCUCGGAGUGGGGGAUAACAGUUAGAAAUGACUGCUAAAACCGCAUGAAUCCAUCGAUUGGGGACAAUUAAUGGAGAAAACUCUGGUGCUUCGAGAGGGGCCCGCGGCCGAUUAGCUAGUUGGUGAGGUAAUGGCUCACCAAGGCGACGAUCGGUAGCUGGUCUGAGAGGACGAUCAGCCACACGGGAACUGAGACACGGUCCCGACUCCUACGGGGGGCAGCAGUGAGGAAUAUUGGGCAAUGGGCGCAAGCCUGACCCAGCAACGCCGCGUGGAGGAAUGAAGGCCUUCGGGUUGUAAACUCCUUUUGCAGGGGAAGAGGAAGGACGGUACCCUGCGAAUAAGUCACGGCUAACUACGUG